AACACGUGAGUAACCUGCCCUGGACUCUGGGAUAACCCCGAGAAAUCGGAGCUAAUACCGGAUAGGACCUUUCCUCGCAUGGGGUUUGGUGGAAAGUUUUUCGGUUUGGGAUGGACUCGCGGCCUAUCAGCUUGUUGGUGAGGUAAUGGCUCACCAAGGCGUCGACGGGUAGCCGGCCUGAGAGGGUGACCGGCCACACUGGGACUGAGACACGGCCCAGACUCCUACGGGAGGCAGCAGUGGGGAAUAUUGCACAAUGGGCGCAAGCCUGAUGCAGCAACGCCGCGUGCGGGAUGACGGCCUUCGGGUUGUAAACCGCUUUUAGUAAGGAAGAAGGGGAGCUUGCUCCUUGACGGUACUUGCAGAAAAAGGACCGGCUAACUACGUGCCAGCAGCCGCGGUAAUACGUAGGGUCCGAGCGUUGUCCGGAAUUAUUGGGCGUAAAGAGCUCGUAGGCGGUUUGUCGCGUCUGCUGUGAAAUCUAGAGGCUCAACCUCUAGCCUGCAGUGGGUACGGGCAGACUUGAGUGGUGUAGGGGAGACUGGAAUUCCUGGUGUAGCGGUGGAAUGCGCAGAUAUCAGGAGGAACACCGAUGGCGAAGGCAGGUCUCUGGGCACUUACUGACGCUGAGGAGCGAAAGCGUGGGGAGCGAACAGGAUUAGAUACCCUGGUAGUCCACGCCGUAAACGUUGGGCGCUAG
rnacentral:rRNA from 1 species